GCGAUCAUACUAGCACUAAUGCACCGGAUCCCAUCAGAACUCCGAAGUUAAGCGUGCUUGGGCGAGAGCAGUACUAGGAUGUGUGACCCCCUGGGAAGUCCUCGUGUUGCAUCU
rnacentral:rRNA from 1 species